UUUGUGCAUGGGAUGAGCACAGCGAAUCUAACAGCGAAGUUGCAAUCAAAGGUCCCGGAACAAACAGACCUGAAAAAUCACUGUUCCCUUCUUGGGUCUCUGUCCCCACAUGCCCAAGAACUGAGCACCUCUUCUCACUCACUGGUGAUAACUGAGAUUGUCAAAGACAACUGUAACUGACACAAUUUUCACCUGCCAUGCUGACUUCAGGAGAUAACCCCCAGGUAAGAUGGAUUUCACUAGAGAGGACAGUUAAAGUCCUGGUUCGGCAUGCUGCCACCUAACAGGCCGGGGAGGCAGUGAACGCAGUGAGCACACAGCAGAUCCACCUGAGAACAGAGAAUUUCUGGGCACUCCACACCACAUCACAUCCUUCAGCAUCCUCUCAACAAACACCUGCAUCCUGCCCUGCCCUGCGUGGCUUCUCCCUUAGCACCUACCACACCAAAGCUGCAACCGAGAACACGGCCCAAAGACAGUAACAUGAAGAUGGUAUUCCCCACCCUGAAAGCCUCAGAAACCAAAGGUGACCCCCCUGGAGACAGUCGUGAGAGGAGACCAUUUCAGACUUACUGUCUGGGUAGUCGGCAAGAAGAGAGAAGAAUAAAGCCAAGGCAGAGAUAGAAGAAGACAGGGGAGAACUCCUUCUGACUAACUCCAGUUCCACACAGACUCCCAACAGACUCCCCUCCCCUCCUUAUAACCAAAUAAUUUCACCACACACUAGUUUUUCAAUAUUCCAGGCCCCCCCAAAAUGUGAAUUGCUGGACUUGGAGUAAUUCACUUAUAACCAAGAAACUUCAGAUAGAUACACCUAAGCCACCUCUCUUCAAAGAUAGACUGCUGCCUUGUCUUUGAAAUCUACAGACUCUAGGGAGCCACUGAUGGGGGCUCUUUUGGAUAGGUGCCGUAUUUCAGAAUCACAAACGCGCAAAGGAUUCACAACUAACAGUUCUAACGUCACAGGGUCUCCUCUCAAUCACACUGUGAGUCUGAAGCAAACACAUUCAUCAUUUAAGCACUUCUUAAUUGUUUCCUUUGGGGCACCACUGGGGUGGGGUGUGAUGCACUAUCUUGGAAGAACAUGAAACAUACCACUUUACAGAGGAUGAUCCUAAGGGUAAGGAUGGCAGGAACAUUUAAGAAAUGAGCUGCCACUCCAUGAAGAAGGCUCAAGAGACUCAUGUAACACAUCAGUGACUGUGAGAACUUUUCUUGAGGAUGGUGUGUCCGUGACAUGGGAUGGGGUGAGGCACCCUGCAUGCAAUGUCCCACAUUCCCAAGUAAUAAUAGCACCUGCACUCAACAAUAACAAUGACAGCCAUGCAGAGACACGAGACUGACUUACCAACCCAGCUGGCCCUGCCUCUUGUGCAUCUGAGCCAUGGAGGGAAGCUGUGAUACACAUCCACAGACAGGAGACAGAGACAGGACAGGCGGAUGCAAUGCUGUGUGCUAAGCAAAGAAAGCACUAAGAGGAAAGCACCAUGGCUUUUAACUCCCCUCAAGUUCCUACCCAAGUUCUGGGCACUAGAUGAAACAAAGAGACUCUAACCAAAAAAAAAAAAAAAAGUCUCUGCAGAGGGUUUCCAGUGGUGAACAGCCACGGAAGACAGAUGACACCCGGAGAACACAGCAGCCAGCAAGGCGGCCUCCAUUCCAGAGGGAUCUCAGGUCAAGAGGUGGCUGAGACAUCGCCUUCCCAGCAGGAGAACUCAGAAAUUUUUCUUCCAGAGAUGCAAGUCUUAACUUAAAAUCCUGCCAGCUAAGCAACGCACCUGGUCGACACAGCAUACUCAAGGCCUGUGAAACCAUCCCCACUGUUAAGCAAGGAAGGCCUUUACUUCCCCAGAAAGAAAUCCUGCACCUAUCAGCAAGCACUCUCUGACCCUUCUCUGCCCAGCUCCCCACAAAAAAAAAAAAAAAAAAUCCAUCCAUUCCUUGGUCAAUAGAUAACGCCAAGUCUGAUCAUUACAUAUAAGUGGAAUUUUAUAAAAUGAUCCUAACCAUCUGGCUUCA